GCUUAUCACCAUUCCAGAAUAAAUAUACCCGAUCUCGUCUGAUCUCGGAAGUCAAGCAAUCUCGAGCUUGGUUAGUACUUGGAGGGGUGACCGCUUGGGAAUACCAAGUGUGAUAAGCA
rfam:Ciona savignyi cont_33229, whole genome shotgun sequence.